AACGCGAAGAACCUUACCACCUUUUGACAUGCCCGGACCGCCACAGAGAUGUGGUCUUCCCUUCGGGGACCGGGACACAGGUGCUGCAUGGCUGUCGUCAGCUCGUGUCGUGAGAUGUUGGGUUAAGUCCCGCAACGAGCGCAACCCUCGCCUUUAGUUGCCAUCAUUAAGUUGGGAACUCUAAAGGUACCGCCGGUGGUAAGCCGGAGGAAGGUGGGGAUGAUGUCAAGUCCUCAUGGCCCUUACAAGGUGGGCUACACACGUGCUACAAUGGCGACUACAGAGGGCAGCAAACCAGCGAUGGGGAGCCAAUCCCUAAAAGUCGUCUCAGUUCGGAUUGCACUCUGCAACUCGAGUGCAUGAAGUCGGAAUCGCUAGUAAUGCUAUAUCAGAACGAUAGCGUGAAUACGUUCCCGGGCCUUGUACACACCGAGACGAC
rnacentral:rRNA from 1 species